rnacentral:rRNA from 1 species
ACACAUGCAAGUCGAACGAACCUUCGGGUUAGUGGCGGACGGGUGAGUAACGCGUGAGAAUCUGCCCUCAGGAGGGGGACAACAGCUGGAAACGGCUGCUAAUACCCCAUAUGCCGCGAGGUGAAACGAAAUUCGCCUGAGGAUGAGCUCGCGUCUGAUUAGCUAGUUGGUGGGGUAAGAGCCUACCAAGGCAUCGAUCAGUAGCUGGUCUGAGAGGAUGAUCAGCCACACUGGGACUGAGACACGGCCCAGACUCCUACGGGAGGCAGCAGUGGGGAAUUUUCCGCAAUGGGCGAAAGCCUGACGGAGCAACGCCGCGUGAGGGAUGAAGGCCUCUGGGCUGUAAACCUCUUUUCUCAAGGAAGAAGAUCUGACGGUACUUGAGGAAUAAGCCACGGCUAAUUCCGUGCCAGCAGCCGCGGUAAUACGGGAGUGGCAAGCGUUAUCCGGAAUUAUUGGGCGUAAAGCGUCCGCAGGCGGCCCUUCAGGUCUGCUGUUAAAAAGUGGAGCUUAACUCCAUCGUGGCACUGGAAACUGUUGGGCUAGAGUGUGGUAGGGGCAGAGGGAAUUCACGGUGUAGCGGU